AAGGCCCCCGAGACCCUAUCUAGGGGUCUGAAUAAGCAAAUUCAAGCAAAAAUUACUCCAAAUCUCACGGAGGUUUUCGAAUCAAGGUCCCCCGAGACUCCUACACACUCAGUUUAAUCACAAUCAAGGUAUUGAAUAUAAGAUCCAACCC